UAGCACCUUAUUCCGUCAUAUUGUCUCUGGAUUUAAUGUAUUCCUAAUGUCACUUUUAUAAACAAAUAGAAGUUAAAACUUUACAAUAUUUUUGUAAAUUUGCAAUUGGAAGCUGCAAAAGGGACAAUAGAAUGUCAGCAAGGUUGGAACAAUUUUCGAUUUAAGUGGAAUUUACGGAAGGAUUUGACCUCACAACUAAUCUGCAAAAUGAAGAAGCAACAUAUUUUGUUACCGCUUAAAAGAAACAAUAGAAAUAGUACUUUGGAUUGAUAAAUAAAGAGUGAAAAUAAGGUUGACUAGAAGUUGAUUAAGUCCAAGGAAUUAAAAAACAAUAGAAAAAAACGUAGACUAGUGUGAACACUGAAAUAAGAAAUUAGAGUU